UCUGGUUGACCCUGCCAGUAGCAUAUGCUUGUCUCUGAGACUAAGCCAUGCAUGUCUAAGUAUAAAUUAAUUUUUACGGUGAAACUGCGGACGGCUCAUUAAAUCAGUUAUAACCUACUUGAUCGUGUGACUUUAUUCGGAUAACCCUAGUAAUUCUAGAGCUAAUACGUGCUAAAAGCCUUAACUUCCAGCAAUGGGGGAAGAGGUGUAUUUAUUAGAAACUAAAACCAAUCAGCUUCGGCUGUUUGAGAUGAUUCAUAAUAACUCGGCAAAUUACGGGAAAAUUCCUGUGAUGAUUCAAACGGAUUUCUGACCUAUCAACUUUAGAUGGCAAAGUAGGGGUUUGCCAUGGUGACAACGGGUGACGGGGAAUUAGGGUUCGAUUCCGGAGAGGGAGCCUGAGAAACGGCUACCACUUCCAAGGAAGGCAGCAGGCGCGCAAAUUACCCAAUGCUAAUUCGGCGAGGUAGUGACAAGAAAUACCAAUGUAGGACCCAACGGGUACUACGUUUGGAAUGAGAACAAUUUAAAAACCUUAACGAGGAACAAUUGGAGGGCAAGUCUGGUGCCAGCAGCCGCGGUAAUUCCAGCUCCAAUAGUGUAUAUUAAAGUUGCUGCGGUUAAAAAGCUCGUAGUUGGAUUACGAAGUGGUGUUUAAAUGUCAUUUUGGUUUGUUUGUCUUUCGGGGCAUUCAGGUCAACUUGGCUUUUACUCACUGUUGUCAUUGUCUUUGCCCAAGGUAUAUGCCUUGUGUGCAUGGCAUUGACCUUCUAUUUUAUGGUAAUGUUGUAUCUUUCGGGGUACAUUCAUUCCAUAUAGUUUACUUUGAAAAAAUUAGGGUGUUUAAAGCAGGCGAAAAGGCUUCGGAAUAUAUUAGCAUGGGAUAAUAGAAUACGAUCUAGGUCGUAAUUUGUUGGUUUCUACGGCUUAGGUAAUGAUUGACAGGGAUAGUUGGGGUCGCUCGUAUUGAGUUGUCAGAGGUGAAAUUCUAGGAUUAACUCAAGACGAACUAAUGCGAAAGCAUUCGGCAAGGAUGUUUUCAUUAAUCAAGAACGAAAGUUGGGGGAUCGAAGAUGAUCAGAUACCGUCGUAGUCUCAACUGUAAACUAUGUCGACCGAGGAUCCGGUAGCGUUACAUGGAUGACCUUCCGGGCACUCUGUGAGAAAUCAUAAGUAUUUGGAUUUCGGGGGGAGUAUGGUCGCAAGGCUGAAACUUAAAGGGAUUGACGGAAGGGCACCACCAGGAGUGGAAUCUGCGGCUUAAUUUGACCCAACACGGGAAAACUUACCAGGUCCGGACACAGUGAGGAUUGACAGAUUGAGAGCUCUUUCUUGAUUUUGUGGGUGGUGGUGCAUGGCCGUUUUUAGUUGGUGGAGUGAUUUGUCUGGUUAAUUCCGUUAACGAACGAGACCUUAACCUAUUAAAUAGCUGCGCGAACCCAGGUUCUUUAACCAUUCUCUCCUUCGGGGGGGCGUGGUAUCA
rnacentral:rRNA from 1 species